rnacentral:tRNA from 2 species
GUUUCUGUAGUGUAGUGGUCAUCACGUUCGCCUAAAACAUGAAAGGUCCUCGGUUCGAAACCGAGCAGAAACA